ensembl:lincRNA Gm26732 predicted gene, 26732
AGGACUAGUAACAUAUUAGUGAAAAAUUGAAGCAUUGCUUACUGUUAACUUUUUUUUUAAGUGACUCUCUUCAGACACACCAGAAGAGGGCAUCAGAUCCCAUUACAGAUGGUUGUAAGCCACUAUGUGGUUGCUGGGAAUUGAACUCAGGACCUCUCGAAAAGCAGUCAGUGCUCUUAACCACUGAGCCAUGUCUCCAGCCCCUGUUGUUGACUUUUAUUGUACUAUGUAUGUAUAUCUGGUUUUGAAAUGAUCACCAUUGUUUCAUGAGCAAAGAGCACUUUAAUGUACAUGUAUGCAAAACAGAAAGGACAAAAGGAAGUAUUUUUCCAAUAUGUAUUUGCUUUAUUUAACUUCAUCUUAACUAUUCUCUAGGCUUUUUUUUUUUUUUGUCUUCUCAUUCAGUUUGCAGAGGACAUGUAUAUAGCUAUAGCCCUCAAUACCUCAAGUGUCCAAAGGAAAGUUAAGCAGGAGAGCUUGCCUGUGUUCAGUAGAGGGAUUUUCACAGUUCUAAGGGGAAAAAGGCAGAAGCCAAGCCAAGCCAAACCAAACCAAACCAACCAACCAACCAACCAACCAACCAACAAUAACAAACAAACAAAACCAAAACAAACAAACCAGCCUUUAGUCUUCCUGAAGGGAUUGAACGUGCCUGUAAUCUCAGCACUGAGGAAUAGGAUGAUGCAUUUGAGGCCAGCUUGGUCUAAAUAAUAAAACUAUCUCAGCAAGCAAGCAAGCUUGGGGAGGGGUCAGCCACGUGAAAGAGCACACGGGACUCUUUCAGAGGAUCUCCAUUCAGUUCCCACCACACACGUAGCAGCUCACAAUUGCAGAUAACUCCAAUUCUUGGGAAUUCUAGCGCCCUCUUCUGGCCUCUGUGGGCAUCACACAAGCAUGUGGUACACAUACAUACAUGCAGGCAUUCAUACAUACUGAUAAAAACAAAAUAAACCUUAAAGGAAAGAAGAGAGAAAGAAAGAAAACUAAGUAAAGCGACGCAUUUGUCUCGCAGCAGAACUGUAAGAAGCACCAACGCCUGUGAUGAUUUUCUUCGCACAUGCUAUUUGAUUUUGGACGAAGCUGGCGUUUCAAGACUCUCAUCUAGUUCCAGGAAACCACGGGGGUAGGAAUCUAUCUUACAUGCAAGAUAUCGGCCAGCUAGUGGGCAUUCCACACAGGGCAGUCAGGAGUCCCUUGUGUAGGACAAGAAAAUAAAAACUGCCCUCUCUCUUCUGUAUGCGAUAGAAGGGUUUUUCAUCCAGCAACUCUGCUGUUCCAGGGCACUACCUCAGGUUCCAGGAGGUCUGGCCCCGGCGAGGACUGUGUUGCCAUGGAGACAAUGCCAUAGGAUUUGAUGCAAGCUGGGAGAUGGAGAACUUGGGGCACUUUCUCAGUUCACACAGCAGAAAGGCACUAAAGAGUAAUGACAUGCUUAACGAAGGAAGUUUUUCCAGCUGUGACCCCGAAUGAGAGAGUCGGGGAUGGGAAGGUAUAGAGGGAUUCUAACCACCUGGUUCUGAAACGCCCCAAGGUGCACGGUAGUGGGGGAUGCAUAAACACGUUCAUGUGGGAAGUAGAGACAGAAGCAGGUACACUGGAGAGCCACCCCUCUUAAAGGCUAUCUUAUUUGAAGGAAAAUGUGAGUGAUAUGUACUGUCUUACAUUAUAUAAUCAGUUAAGUCAGAGGCUUGGUUGCUAAAAUAAUUAUCCCUGCUUGUCUCGCCACAACUCUUGUCUACAGAACUUUCACACACAUUUCCACCCUUAUUUAUAAUCAGAGCCUGGGCAGAUCACCUGAGCAUCUCAGUUACAACGUCUUUGACUCUUUGAAAAACAAGCACACAGUAUGGUCCAUAGCAGAACCCUGCUCACUCUCACGUGCUUUCCAUUUCUGAGCACCUCUGCUUCCUGGAGUGCCAUGAAAUAGUAGGGUCCAUAAGGAGAUUAGAAACAGGGUUGUCCUCCCCCGCCCACCUCCUUCCUCCCACGAACGUAGCCAUCCCGACAUCCCGGAGAAAGGCCCAGCCUGAGCCAGGAUCCGCAGAGGAUGCGGGUCCCCGCGCCUCUGCAAAGCCCAGGAAUGGCAGCGACCAGGCCGGGGUGGGCACGAGGUGAAGCGGAGCGGUGCCCAAAGCAGCUGCCAAGGCAAGCUGGGACAAGGCAGCGAUUGCCUUACAGGAGAGAGGCAGGGAAAGGGUUUCCUAGUCCCUGAGGUCUCCCGAGGUCAAUUCCCAGCGCAGCCUGAGGUACCUAGGGGGCUCCGCGAUCUCGGAAGUUGGGGGGGGGGGGUGGUCAGCCGAGGGAGAGAGCGUCUUACCUGGCCAGGAUGGCUGGUGUGGUUGAAGGAGUAGAUGUUCUCGGUGCUGACUUCAGCAGCUGGGUGGUGUGUGGCCCAACGCCGGCAGCGCGCUGGAGGGGAGCGAGCAGAUCAAAUACUGAUGUGCCACCUGGGGUCUCCGAAGGAGGUCACGCGUGUGGAGUAGGGGCAACAGGAGGCGUGGGGACCAGGGAGGGCUGCUUUUCCCUUCGACUUUUUAAGUCUUCCCUUUCUCAUCGCUGAAAACCUUCCACUCACACAGAAAGAUUUUUUCACUGAUCUCUUCCCUCUCGACCUCAAACCACCAACGACAAACCCCUCAGAGAGGUAGCCGCUAGUCUGGAAGAAUCGGUGUGACCAGCUACCAAGGAGGAAAUCAGGUGCACGUCAAACGAAAGUGCACUCUAGCUGCAGGCAGGCGAAUAGAAAGCAAAAGAGAGUGCACCUCUCAAGAGGAUGU